GUUGUUGCUGGUCCCUGUAUGGGGGCAUGUGCACGCUCUGUUUACACAUCCACUCACACCUGUGCACCCUCUGUAGUUCUAUGGCCUGGGGGGCUCUGUCCUCCUGCCGUGGUCCUAUGUCUUUACACACACACCGUAGCAAAGUCUCAUGGAAUGUAUGUCGCGUUUAACGCAAUGAAAUACAACUUUCAGCAACGGAUCUCUUGGCUCUCGCAUCGAUGAAGAACGCAGCGAAAUGCGAUAAGUAAUGUGAAUUGCAGAAUUCAGUGAAUCAUCGAAUCUUUGAACGCACCUUGCGCCCUUUGGCUAUUCCGAAGGGCAUGCCUGUUUGAGUAUCAUGAACACCUCAACUCUCAUGGCUUGCCCAUGAUGAGCUUGGACUUUGGGGGUCUUGCUGGCCUGUGGGCCGGCUCCUCUCAAAUGAAUUAGCUUGCCAGUGUUUGGUGGGCAUCACAGGUGUGAUAACUAUCUACGCUUGUGGUCUUCCGCCAGGUAAUCUUCGGCAAUGAAGGUUCGCUGGAGCUCAUAAACGUCUCUCCUUGGUGGGGACAGAUUUGACCAUUUGAUCUCAAAUCAGGUAGGACUACCCGCUGAACUUAAGCAUAUCAAUAA
rnacentral:rRNA from 1 species